rnacentral:rRNA from 1 species
AGACUGCCGGUGACUAAACCGGAGGAAGGCGGGGAUGACGUCAAGUCCUCAUGGCCCUUACAUCCCGGGCUACACACGUGCUACAAUGGCAGGUACAGAGGGCUGCGAAGCCGCGAGGUGGAGCGAAUCCCAGAAAACCUGUCUCAGUCCGGAUUGAAGUCUGCAACUCGACUUCAUGAAGGCGGAAUCGCUAGUAACCGCGAAUCAGCAGGUCGCGGUGAAUACGUUCCCGGGCCUU